AGACAGGAGGAUGCAUCAAAGGAAGCAGUUUGUCUCAUGUCCGGGGUUACUAGCAUCUCCUCUGGAAAUGGUGAUGAACCUCAGGCUAACACAACGAAUGUGCCUCUUUCAGAUGAUUCCUGAACCACAGCCAGGCCAAUGUGAUGGACGGAGGUCUUGCCAGGCCACUUGGGGGGUGAGGCUGGGAUGUUCCUAAGACUGAAAGGCAAAGGCGUGCCUCAGAGGGUUGGACUGUUAAAAAGGAGGUCUUGGUGCUGAUGUUUGGAGCGCCUGGGUACAUCACGUGCUUGUCUCUGUGCCAUGGCCGCCGUCCCAGCUCGGCACAGCAGGAGCUUGUGCAAGCCUCCGUCAGCUCCAUUGGGGAAGGGAAAGGAGCACAAUAUACUUCCUACAGAAAGCCCUGGCCCUCAGCCCUCAGAGGCUCGCAGCUGUGCACAUCUGGAACAAACUGUCCCAGUGGAGUUGCACACGUGCUCCCAGCAUACUCUCUGAAUCCGACACCAAGUGCGGAGCCAGGAGGGCCCGGCAUGCAUGCUGCCUAGCCACGUGAGCCACCUUUCACUCAUCUCCAAGCAGAAACCAUCGGCCUUUGUGACUUCAACUCCGAGUUGAAAGUGUGCCUUUGUUCAUCUGUCCCGCAGCUCGUUGGACAUGUCAAUAACCUGACAGACCUUUGAGUCUCUCUACCUGACGCCCAGCCCCGUGAUUACCUCUCCUCUUUCCAUCCCUCCAAAUUUGGAGCUACUCUGCAUUUUGCUUUUGUUUGGACUUUGCAAAAUUGAGAUGCCAAUGCAAUAAACGUGUGUUGACCAUUUACCAUGGAGACAGCAAGCAAGAUAACAGGUGUUCAGUGCCCCAAAAGGUGUUUCUUGCUUUGUCCUGUGACUGUGGACCACCUCUUCCCUGGGCAAUCCAGAGAGCUCUUCCACCAUCCAACAGCUGCAACCACACUGGCUCCAAAAAAGUCUGAACCCAACUUUUGAAGAGGGAUGCACCUUCCAUGUCUGCCUCUCCUUGGGAGAGAAGAUGAAAUAUUUCCAUCUUCACUGACAAGGACUUCUGGCAAUUUGGAUGAAUGAUGCCAAGAGAAGAAAGCAACCAGCUUAUAAACUUCCUAAGGAAGCAAAUUUCAAAAGAAACCCCAAACAUCACGAAUCACAAGCUGCUUUGUUUUCUUAUUCAUGACCUUCAUCUACCUUCCCUUUCAUCAAGUAAAUGGAAAUGUGUCAUUCUGAUUAA
rnacentral:lncRNA from 1 species